CUUGAAUGAAGAGAUAAGAUCCUUUUUAUAACAAAUUAAUGAAAAAAUUACAAAAUGUUUUAUAAAUAUAGAUGGUUAAAUAUUUUUGUUUUUUAUUGGUAGGAAUGGAAGAAGAGCCUAUAUAUGAGUACAUGGCAACCGAGGGACCGUCGGAGGAUAGUGAUGUCAAGAACCAACCGAUAGACCCCGAGUCAUGGAAAGAUGGCGACGUUGUUACGAUAACCAAGCUGGGUCUGUACAAGAUUACUGCUCUGGUGUGUGACAAGUGGUCAACAGGUACAGAGCCAGAAGCACAUGAGGAAGUAAAGGCAGCUUAAAUUAUUUGAAAGAAAAGAAAUAUAUCUAUGUAAGCCACUGGUUAAACGUUACUAUACGGUUGGCUUAAUAAUAGGUUGCUGAAACCAUGAUCGACGGAGCCCUCGCCGGUGGUGAUUUAGAAACAAACAACACAAACAGGGUGUGCAGCGACUGGUUGUCAACUGUAGAACCAAAAGAACAUGAUGAGGAAGGUACCACGGGGCCCGACGGUGCAUCAGCUGAGGAUGAUAAUGAUGAUUCAGAAUCAGACAAAGAUACGACUGAGACAUCUUCAGAGGAUGAAGAGGAUAAAGAGAGGCGGCCUUUGAGCAGAAUAACCGUGAUAUGCACCUGUUGUUUUUGCUUGAAGCAAGAUUUUAAAAAAGAGUCUGUAAAAAGUAAGGAGGGUGACCAGAAGAGCUGCGAAGAUGACAUUAUGGCUGAUAUUAUUAGGGCCGUUGUAGUAAAAGCCAUUUACCACUGUUUGAAAAAACAACUUUUGGAAAACUGUGCAGCCUGCGUGGUAAACGAG
rnacentral:lncRNA from 1 species